CAGGGAUUGCCCUAGUAACGGCGAGUGAAGCGGCAACAGCUCAAAUUUGAAAUCUGGCUCUCUUUGGGGGUCCGAGUUGUAAUUUGCAGAGGAUGCUUUGGCAUUGGCGGCGGUCUAAGUUCCUUGGAACAGGACAUCACAGAGGGUGAGAAUCCCGUACGUGGUCGCCUGCCUUUGCCGUGUAAAGCUCCUUCGACGAGUCGAGUUGUUUGGGAAUGCAGCUCUAAAUGGGAGGUAAAUUUCUUCUAAAGCUAAAUACUGGCCAGAGACCGAUAGCGCACAAGUAGAGUGAUCGAAAGAUGAAAAGUACUUUGGAAAGAGAGUCAAAAAGCACGUGAAAUUGUUGAAAGGGAAGCGCUUGCAGCCAGACUUGCCCGCAGUUGCUCACCUAGGCUUUGGCCUGGGGCACUCUUCUGCGGGCAGGCCAGCAUCAGUUUGGGCGGUUGGAUAAAGGCCUCUGUCACGUAUCUCCCUUCGGGGUGACCUUAUAGGGGAGGCGCAAUGCAACCAGCCCGGACUGAGGUCCGCGCUUCGGCUAGGAUGCUGGCGUAAUGGCUGUAAGCGGCCCGUCUUGAAACACGGACAAAGGAGUCUAACAUCUAUGCGAGUGUUUGGGUGUCAAGCCCGAGCGCGCAAUGAAAGUGAACGGAGGUGGGAACCCUUUGGGUGCACCAUCGACCGAUCCUGAUGUCUUCGGAUGGAUUUGAGUAAGAGCAUAGCUGUUGGGACCCGAAAGAUGGUGAACUAUGCUUGAAUAGGGUGAAGCCAGAGGAAACUCUGGUGGAGGCUCGCAGCGGUUCUGACGUGCAAAUCGAUCGUCAAAUUUGGGCAUAGGGGCGAAAGACUAAUCGAACCAUCUAGUAGCUGGUUCCUGCCGAGUUUCCCUCAAGAAACCCAGACCAGCUACUAGAUGGUCGAUUAAGUCUUU
rnacentral:rRNA from 1 species